rnacentral:ncRNA from 2 species
UACUUAUAAAGAAAGACCGAGGGAGAGGCCCGAUAACGUCUUAGCAACCUGAUACUAACCGGAAGUAAAAAGGUGCUAAUUCCUACUCUUGAUAAAAGAGAAAGAUAAGUA